rnacentral:rRNA from 1 species
UCGGGAAUUUUGCACAAUGGCCGAAAGGCUGAUGCAGCAACGCCGCGUAGAGGACGAAGGCCUUCGGGUUGUAAACUCCUGUUGCCGGGGAAGAAAUGGUCAGACAGGAAAUGGUCGGGCUUUGACGGUACCCGGUGAGGAAGCCACGGCUAACUACGUGCCAGCAGCCGCGGUAAUACGUAGGUGGCAAGCGUUGUCCGGAUUUAUUGGGCGCAAAGGGCGUGCAGGCGGUUUGGUAAGUCAGGAGUGAAAAUCCGGGGCUCAACCCCGGGACUGCUUCUGAAACUGCGGAACUUGAGUGCUCUAGAGGGCAGUGGAAUUCCAUGUGUAGCGGUGAAAUGCGUAGAGAUAUGGAGGAACACCAGUGGCGAAGGCGGCUCUCUGGUCUGCAAGUGACGCUGAGGCGCGAAAGCGUGGGGAGCGAACAGGAUUAGAUACCCUGGUAGUCCACGCCGUAAACGAUGAGUGCUAAGUGUUAGAGGGCUACCACCCUUUAGUGCUGCAGCAAACGCAUUAAGCACUCCGCCCGGGGAGUACGGCCGCAAGGCUG